rnacentral:rRNA from 1 species
ACAUAGUUUGACUCUAGCUAUUAAAUUUUCUCAUUCAACUAAAUAUACAUGCAAGACAACACCCCCCCGUGAGUAACCACCCCCAACUCUAAAAGAACCUCAAUUUAAUUUAAGGACCUCCUAUCAUUCUUAGAACACCACGCCCGCAGUAAAAAACCCUGAAGAAAUUAUUAAAGUAAGACUCGGAGAUUGAAUAAAGAGUUGAUAAAAUUCGUGCCAGCAAUCGCGGUUAAACGACAGACUCAAGAAAAUUAUAUUCAGAUAAUAUAAUGAUAUUAAUCAAUAAAUAUAGUGGUUCAAUAAGAGUAUUUAAACACCCUCUCCACCAUAUCAACCACCCAUAUGAAAGCCAAAACCAAAACAAGGAUCUGAUACCCUUUUAUUCUUGGCCAUAAACAAAAUUCUGGGAACUACGAACACAUGUUUAAAACUUAAAGACCUUGGCGGUAUCUUACCCUAUUAGGGGAGCCUGUCCCUUAAUCCGAUAAUCCACGUUUAUUCCUACUACAGCUAGAACUCAGCCUGUGUACUGCCGUCGAGGAGCUUACCCCGCAAGGGAAGUAAGCAAUACAGCCCUACCAAUGACGUCAGGUCGAAGUGCAGCCUAUGCAGUAGAGAAGAUGGGCUACAUUAAAUAAAUAAUGGACUAAAACAUAAAAUACUUUAUAAAAUAGGACUUAAUAGUAAAAGAAAAUUAAAAUAUUUCUUAGAAUUAGGUAAUCUGAGAUGUGCACACAUCGCCCGUCGCCCUCGCCGAAAGGGGAGGUAAGUCGUAACAUAGUAAGUGUAACGGAAGUUGCACUUAUCAAGCU